GUCAGAGUGGCUGAGUGGUGUAAGGCCCCAGCCUCAAGAGAUGGAGGCGUGGGUUCAAAUCCCACUUCUGACA